GACGAACGCUGGCGGCGUGCUUAACACAUGCAAGUCGAACGGCAAGGCCCUGCUUUUUUGGGGUGCUCGAGUGGCGAACGGGUGAGUAACACGUGAGUAACCUGCCCUUGACUUUGGGAUAACUUCAGGAAACUGGGGCUAAUACCGGAUAGGAUCUCCUGCUGCAUGGUGGGGGUUGGAUAUUUGCGGCGGUUGGGGUUGGACUCGCGGCUUAUCAGCUUGUUGGUGGGGUAGUGGCUUACCAAGGCUUUGACGGGUAGCCGGCCUGAGAGGGUGACCGGCAACAUGGGGACUGAGAGACGGCCCAGACGCCAACGGGAGGCAGCAGGGGGGAAUAUUGCACAAUGGGCGGAAGCCUGAGGAAAAAACGCCGCGUGCGGGAUGACGGCCUUCGGGUUGAAAACCGCUGUCGCCUGUGACGAAGCGGGAGUGACGGUAAUGAGUAAAGAAGCACCGGCUAACUACGUG
rnacentral:rRNA from 1 species